CCGAGGAAUGUACUUCAGUGCCAAAGACAAAGGAGAGAUGAUGUCUAUGAUCUACAACUGGCCUGCUCAUCAGGUUGAUAUGAUCGUCAUCACUGAUGGUAGCCGCAUCCUUGGCUUAGGAGACCUUGGAGUCCAGGGUAUUGGGAUUCCUAUCGGAAAGCUCGACAUGUAUGUGGCUGCUGCAGGAAUCAAUCCACAGAGAGUAUGUCCCAUCUCCAUUAUCUGCUUGUGGACAAAGGGUUUCAUCUUCUUAUUCGAAAAUUUUACGCUUGUUUAUAUGAAGGUUUUGCCAAUUAUGUUGGAUGUCGGCACCAAUAAUCAAAAGCUCCUACAGAAUCCUCUCUGUAAGCUACUUUUAUUAGUCUCUAUAUGAUUGCACUUCUGUGGAUGUGUUUCCUUUGAUACGUCAUUCAUGUAUCUACAGAUUUAGGACUCAGACAACCUAGGUUGGAAGGAGAGGAGUACCUUGAGAUUGUUGAUGAGUUUAUGGAAGCUGCAUUCACACGUUGGCCUAAGGCCGUCGUUCAGGUAUUUAUAUACCGUAGUUUCUACUUUGGAUUUACCUUUUGGUGGUGCUAUUACUAAAUGGUUCUUUCAUUAUAUCACCAUCGCUUGUUCUCUGCAGGUCCUUAUUGAUAACAUCAAAGACUUUGCCCCAAUCAUAUACACACCGACGGUUGGACUGGUUUGUCAGAACUAUUCUGGUUUGUAUAGAAGACCCCGAGGAAUGUACUUCAGUGCCAAAGACAAAGGAGAGAUGAUGUCUAUGAUCUACAACUGGCCUGCUCAUCAGGUUGAUAUGAUCGUCAUCACUGAUGGUAGCCGCAUCCUUGGCUUAGGAGACCUUGGAGUCCAGGGUAUUGGGAUUCCUAUCGGAAAGCUCGACAUGUAUGUGGCUGCUGCAGGAAUCAAUCCACAGAGAGUAUGUCCC
rnacentral:lncRNA from 1 species